GACGAACGCUGGCGGCGUGCUUAACACAUGCAAGUCGAACGGAAAGGCCUGCUUUCCCUUGUGGAUUGCGGGUACUCGAGUGGCGAACGGGUGAGUAACACGUGAGUGAUCUGCCCCCAACUUGGGUAUAAGCCUGGGAAACUGGGUCUAAUUCCCGAUAGGACUGCAGGGUGGUGCCUGUGGUGGAAAACGAUUUUCUAGUGGUUGGGGAUGAGCUCGCGGCCUGUCAGCUUGUUGGUGGGGUAAUGGCCUACCAAGGCGGCGACGGGUAGCCGGCCUGAGAGGGUGGACGGCCACAUUGGGACUGAGAUACGGCCCAGACUCAUACGGGAGGCAGCAGUGGGGAAGAGUGCACAAUGGGCGGAAGCCUGAUGCAGCGACGCCGCGUGGGGGAUGACGGCCUUCGGGUUGUAAACUCCUUUCGACCGCGAGGAAGCCACCUGGUUGGAAGGGUGGUGACGGUAGUGGUAGAAGAAGCACCGGCUAACUACGUG
rnacentral:rRNA from 1 species